GCUGAUAUUACUUACUGUUUAGUGUUUUGUGUUUCUGCAGAAUCUGUUGGCCCUCAGCGGCUAAAGAGCCAUUAAAGGCAGAAAGGACUGGAGGACAACAGAGUGCUCUGUUCUGGUAACUGCUGCUCUCUAUUGUUGGAGGGAAAUAUGCUUCGAACAGGCUCUGACCCAGUGGAAACUCAUCCAGAUCGCAACCACGGCUUCCUCUGCUCCUCUUAUUCCCAUCCUAAUUUUUUUAUAAACUCAUAAAUAGACAAACAGAGUAUCUCUCAUAGGUUUUUCCCGCAGUAACCGUGCCAGUUCCCUCCGAGUGAAACUCAUUCAUCUGCUGCCAAGGUUGAGAAUCAAAGAGGUCCAGUCUUCUAAGAAAUGAAGCUGGCAUAGUGUUUGAUAAAGUAUCUCUUUUAAAGAAGUAAUGUGAGAGAAUUUUGUUUUUGCCAUACAAGAUAACAAGUUAUUUAUUGUAAAACUACUUUUGUUGGCUGCUCUCUCAAGGUUUAUUCCAUGCAAGUGUGAUAAAAUGCCAAAGGAGCAAGCCUCUAGAUUCAUUUUGUAUGCAGACGCCUCGAAGUUCUUGUCAAACAUCUAUUCAGGCUCUUAUUUCAAACCACUUCCACCUUAUUGUGCCUUAACUGAAGCAAUAAGGAGGCAGAAGGUUCCAGUGACGUGGGUUUCCUGCCUGUCGGUGCUUAAUUGAUUUGAACCUGGCAACAUUACUCUGCCAGUAACCUGGUGGCUCCAUAGAAAUCAAGUCUGUGUGAGCCAACACAGUGACGUCAGGAUGGAAAGGGGUUAUAACCUCUUUGGGGUUAUUUGGCAGCUCUUAACACGACCACACUUACUUUCUCAGUGGCAGCGCCUUAGCAGGGGCUGUCAGGACUCUUUAACCUGAGGGGAGGCCAUCACACAGUGCUGUCAGAGGGUAUUAAGACACUUUGUUUUGAGUCUUUACACUGGAUUUGAUUUAGGAGGACUUAGACCGUGUCAUACGUUUAAAUCUUUUUUAUACACAGUCGCUUAAUCUUUGACAAUCCAAGAGGUCAGUGAGCCCAAACAUGCAGAAAAGGUACAUUUGUUUUAAACAGCUGCAUGCUUUUUGAGGACCAUAUAGGAUACAAAUGACCUCCAAAAUAAGCAAGAUAGUGUAAAAGUCUGCAGUAUGGCUCUUUCAUUAAAGUUGUCUCCUGAUAUGUUUAACCUUCAUGCUAUCAUAGAAUUGGCAACAAAACAUGAAAUAAUGCAUAUCUCUGUCACAGAAAACAGUGUCUCUAACAAGAAAAUCUCUUUUAGAGAGAGCUGUAGCUGCUACAUGAUCAUAUUAAAAUGUGAAUAAUAAUAAUAAUAAUACCUGCUGGAGUCAGCACCUAAACCUGUCUGUUUCACUGCAAAUCAAAUAAUGUGCUAGAAAGAGAGAAAUAUAAAAGAGACGAAUAUCAACAUCACAGUGGCAAAUUUAUGAGAGGUUAAACUCUUCUGCUGCAACUGUGAUUUUAUUUGAUGGUGUUUGUACAUUAUGUAAUCAUUAAGAGUGAAGUGAACCAGGUCAAGUGAGAAAAUGAUGAAAUUCAUAAAAAUGUAUACACUAGAAACAAACCUGGGCACUUCUGUUAGACAGACUCCCAAACAAAGCUACCAGAGCAGCUCAGAGGGAAGACAGUUUUUGAUGGUGACUAAAUUAGCACUUCCUUUAAACCACCCCUCAGCUAAAUAACCAUGAGUCCAAAGAGGCCAAAAGGAUACAGGUCAAAGCUCACUGCGUCACUGUACACACUCACUCUCAUCUAUACUCACAUCUAUUCCACAUAGGAUGGAAACGCUAAACUUGUGUCACAGAUGUAUUAUUGGGGGGGCAUGAAAUACUGGCUAAAAAGCAAAGUUACUUUAUGUAAAAAAAACAUUUUUUGCUUAAAGUAUGAGAGACAAUCUCUUUGGCUACAAAUCCCUCCAACAACCCAAACAUUUAUUUGCUUCUGGAGCAGAACAUAUACAGAAAAGAGAGGGGCAAGUCUGACCUCUUGUGGACUUUUGAUGCAUUACCGAUGAGGGGAAACCAUAAAACAGUGAGAGAUUUAUAGAGCACUUCAAAACUCAAAUACAUUUAUAAAAAAGGAACUGAAAAUCUGAGAAUUAUAAAGUUUUGACAAUAAGUACAACAAGGAGGGAACAGAAGUCUGUUUCAUAUUGAAACUGAAAUUGAUCAUUUUAAACAUGUAAAAGAGAAAAAAAGAACGAAAACAAACAAACAGACUGACAUAAAAAGCAGAAACUAUUUCAAUUUUAGUAUAAUUUCAGUGAACUUAUCAGAAAAGGAGUGGGGAAAAAGUGACAUUUACUGAACCCCAUACCCUCCUUUUGUUAUUGAUUAAUUGUCAAUGAUACAAUCGGCUUCCCAUCACCAUGUAUGUUAAUCAUCUCAUUUUAAAGACUGUCUGAUUCACACUUAAAAGCUUUACCUUAUCGUCUUAAAAAACAUCACACACACAAAAAUAAUAAGUUAAGACCUUUUUUCACUUGAUAACAGCGUCUAGAUAUGUUCUGUUGAUUUAGUUUUCCCUGGUUUUGUGAUUUCAGUGUAUUUUUUGUGUGUGUAUUUUUCCCAGUGUUUUUGUUCCCCCAUUGUUCCUGUUCCCCUGUAGUCGAGUCUUGUGAGUUUUCAGUUUGUGUUUGACCCUGUUUCCCUCAUAUUUUCAGUGUUUCAUUCUUUAGAUCAGUUUUCAAUGUUUUCUGUUUUAUUUUGUAGUAGUUGAUUUCUUGUGUUUCUAGUUUGGUUUUACUCCCCUCUUUGGCUAAUCGCCUAUGAGUUUCACCUGUGUCUCGUUUGCCGCACCUGUUGCUCGUUUGCCUCACCUGUUGCUUGUUUUCCCAUGUGUAUAUAGUCCCUGUCUUCCCCUCUGUCUUGGUGGGUUCAAUGUAUGUCGAUGUGUUUGUGUGUGUUUUUUUCCCAGUGGCUUUGGUUGGAUUAUUUGCUCCUUGUGUUUUUGAAAUAAGUUUUUGUUGCUUUUUAUUUCGUUUUUUUUAAUAUAUCAUUUUUUGUUCUGCAUUUGGGUCUUUUUAUUUUGUUUAACCCUGGCUCAUGACAAACAGCAAACCUGUACAAGACAGAAAUACUAGAAUAAUGCCAUCACUUAUAUACUCGUACAAAUACUGUUUUAUUUUUACCUCAAGUGAACAGUACAUGUUUGUGUGAGCUAUAACAUGAAAUAUUAAUCCAUAGAAUGUCAACCAUGACAAGAAUUAGAUAGCAUAAAUAGUAUUACACCAGGCCAGUAUCGUACAGCACUGUUUAGAGUCUCACAUCAAAGUCAGAGGUUUUGGAUAGCACUAAAUGGUGAAGGGGAAGUUUGAAGAAAACCUAAAGUGAUUCGAAAAAACUCUGGUAUAAUUUUUUAUUGUCUUCUCUUACAGUUGUCCUAAACCUAAGAAGACUAGCUAUGAGGCUCCCCAUGAUUUGAACCUUUAGGGACAAUAUUAUGUGGCAAAAACAAUCAGAUUGAAAUUUAUGAAUUAUGUAUAAACAAAGUUUCAUUUAGAAUAAAACCUCUUGUUCAAGAUCAGCCUAAACCUAUAAAGCCCAAGGAGAUAAUAUUCGAGUAUAAUUUCAAUGUGCCCAAAGGUAGAUCUUCUAUCUCCGCCUCUGAAGAUUUUCAACAUGCAGCUAUCUAGUCAAAAGUCAACAUACUGAACCACUGGUUGGUCUUAAAGCAUAUGUGUGCAACCUAUAGAGGCUAUAGUCCUCAUUGCAGGGGUUGCUAGUCUAGCUACUGGCCCUGACUGGUUGCCUCUCCACUAUUCCUGUCCCUCUUCAGAUGUGCUAUCCAAUAAAGGCAAAAAUGCACAAAAAUCAAAUUUAAAAUACAAGACAUUUGAUGAAAUACAAACACCUGGUCAGACAGUAGAAUAAAAGGUUAUUACUGAAACUGUUUUAUAUCCACCUUGAGUGUGGAAAGAAUGUUAGUAUCAUAUUUCAUGGUUAUCCUCACCAUGGUCAUGUCAUAAAAAACAAUAAAUGGCAUAGUCAUGUUGGCAAUACAGUCAAACUCAGUGAGAACACCAAGUACGAGUUCUCCUCUGGGAACAAUGAACAUAUAUGAACGAUUACUCAUCACUCCAUCAUUGAGAUAAUAUACAGGAUAACACUGAACAUUAUCCUGCUGAUGACACAAACAACCAAAGGCACGAAGUCACUGACAGUCUGAAGGACUGCCUGAUGGGAGAACAUUGGGGAUCAAUGUGAACGACCGUUUUGACUGAUAAUUACAGUUCAUAUGAAAAUUACCACAAAAUAUUUGCAUCACCGAUAAGAACUUUGCAUGAACACCUCCCCCCACCCCUAUGCUGUCCCUUACUUCCACUCCAUGUCACAGCCACACACUGUCCACCCUUUCAUCAUCAAGAGUGACACACCACUGUGCAGGGGGAUCCUGUGGGUGCUGAAUGUCACUGAAUAUUUGACAGCCUUUGUUUACUGAGGCAAAACUCUCAGGUGACGAAGAAAAGCAGCCAAACCAGGGUGUUGUUUAUAAGUCAGUGACAUUCCCAUGCGUCCAGUGCAAAUACGAUGCAGUGUGAACAUCAUCACACUCCUUUUUCAGACAGUAAGUUUGCUGCAGAAGUUGUUUGUUGGAGCUGUUUCACAUUCAUGGUAACCCUUGUUUUUCAUCUGCACAGACAUUAUAAAAGUGGCUGGGAAACUCAGAGGAGAAACCUCAGAAAAAAAGAAAAAAAAAUAGAUAAAAUGACAAAGAAGAGGACCACUGUAGGGUUUAUUUGGCCUUCCACUGUCAGCUUCACUUUGACUUUUUAAUUUCUGGAUUGAAGACUCACAAAAACAUGUUAAAUAACAUACCACAAUGUCACAAAUUCAAGGUAUGAACUUAGUACCAACUUACUUUAUAUUCUUUAAGUUCAUUUAAAUACAUUUGUUCGUCCUUUGUUACAUUAGCACAGUAAAGAGGAAUAUAGAGAGUCUAGUCUACCCUUGAAAAAGUGUAAUUAACACAACCUUAAUUACCAUGCUUCUGUUCCUGUCCCCCUAGAGGACAGUCACAUGUCCUUGUGAAGAUAUUUACCAGCUCCCACCUUGGGCAAGUAAGCAUCUUGUUAGACAGAGCCGUAAUAAAUGAGCUUGUUGUGAGGAGGGAUUUGGUGGGAUUACUUUCAACUCAGCUCCAUGAGGAAGGAUUUAUUAUGCUACCCCUGCAUCUCCAUGUGCAUGAUACAGGAAAGAUGAUGUUGUUUAGCAUAGCGAUGAAAGAACCAAAGCCUCAAAUCUCAAGGGUAGGAAAAAAAAAAAAAAAGGAGUGACUGCUCAUCUCGACAGAAUCUAAAGGGGGAAGUUUGUUUCCAAAGAAAUGCCAGCUCCACAAAAACAGGAGGGCACAGCUCUUCUGGGGAAAACAAAGUGUAACAAAGAAAACAAAGCAAAAGUAGAAAUAAAAAAGUUUUU
rnacentral:lncRNA from 1 species